AGAUCAAUAUCUGGUCAGAUCUGACUUUGUCGAAUUAAACCAGGAGCUUGGAGACGAAUUUUUGAAUGAAACUAACUGGGGGAUGUUUGGUUCAUACCAUGGUGAUAACCGAGAGAGGCAAUUGCUAAGUGGUGAUACUCUCAUACCCUUACUAGAUGCGAACAAUUCCGGAGAAGAAGAAGAAGUGGUUCGGACAAGGAUUUUAUUUAUAUUGACGGGAUUCUUAUAUUGAUGAAGUUGAAGAAGUCCAGGGACAAAUAAGCCAAGGCAAGCCAUCUUUUGAUCUCUGUUUUGGUGUCUAGUUGGAUGUCAUUUGUUGAUGUCCAAAGCACCUUGAAUUCUAUGUGUGUUAUUCUCUCUAUUUAUGUCAUCUAUGUGUGUUUCCAAGUGGGGUACUCCCUAGUGGUGAUAC